GAUGAACGCUGGCGGCGUGCCUAAUACACGCAAGUCGAGCGAACAGACGAGGAGCUUGCUCCUCUGACGUUAGCGGCGGACGGGUGAGUAACACGUGGAUAACCUACCUAUAAGACUGGGAUAACUUCGGGAAACCGGAGCUAAUACCGGAUAAUAUAUUGAACCGCAUGGUUCAAUAGUGAAAGACGGUUUUGCUGUCACUUAUAGAUGGAUCCGCGCCGCAUUAGCUAGUUGGUAAGGUAACGGCUUACCAAGGCAACGAUGCGUAGCCGACCUGAGAGGGUGAUCGGCCACACUGGAACUGAGACACGGUCCAGACUCCUACGGGAGGCAGCAGUAGGGAAUCUUCCGCAAUGGGCGAAAGCCUGACGGAGCAACGCCGCGUGAGUGAUGAAGGUCUUCGGAUCGUAAAACUCUGUUAUCAGGGAAGAACAAAUGUGUAAGUAACUAUGCACGUCUUGACGGUACCUAAUCAGAAAGCCACGGCUAACUACGUG
rnacentral:rRNA from 1 species